rnacentral:rRNA from 1 species
UACAGAGGGUGCAAGCGUUAAUCGGAAUUACUGGGCGUAAAGCGCGCGUAGGUGGUUUGUUAAGUUGGAUGUGAAAUCCCCGGGCUCAACCUGGGACUGCAUUCAAAACUGACAAGCUAGAGUAUGGUAGAGGGUGGUGGAAUUUCCUGUGUAGCGGUGAAAUGCGUAGAUAUAGGAAGGAACACCAGUGGCGAAGGCGACCACCUGGACUGAUACUGACACUGAGGUGCGAAAGCGUGGGGAGCAAACAGG